rnacentral:rRNA from 1 species
AUUGAACGCUGGCGGCAGGCCUAACACAUGCAAGUCGAGCGGAUGAAGGGAGCUUGCUCCUGGAUUCAGCGGCGGACGGGUGAGUAAUGCCUAGGAAUCUGCCUGGUAGUGGGGGAUAACGUCCGGAAACGGGCGCUAAUACCGCAUACGUCCUGAGGGAGAAAGUGGGGGAUCUUCGGACCUCACGCUAUCAGAUGAGCCUAGGUCGGAUUAGCUAGUUGGUGGGGUAAAGGCCUACCAAGGCGACGAUCCGUAACUGGUCUGAGAGGAUGAUCAGUCACCCUGGAACCUAGACACGGUCCAGACUCCUACGGGAGGCAGCAGUUGGGAAUAUUGGACAAUGGGCGAAAGCCUGAUCCAGCCAUGCCGCGUGUGUGAAGAAGGUCUUUGGAUUGUAAAGCACUUUAAGUUGGGAGGAAGGGCAGUAAGUUAAUACCUUGCUGUUUUGACGUUACCAACAGAAUAAGCACCGGCUAACUUCGUG